rnacentral:rRNA from 1 species
CCUACGGGAGGCAGCAGUAAGGAAUAUUGGUCAAUGGACGAAAGUCUGAACCAGCCAUGCCGCGUGAAGGAUGACGGCCCUCUGGGUUGUAAACUUCUUUUAUAGGGGACGAAAAAAGGGUAUUCUUACUCACUUGACGGUACCCUAGGAAUAAGCACCGGCUAACUCCGUGCCAGCAGCCGCGGUAAUACGGAGGGUGCAAGCGUUAUCCGGAUUCACUGGGUUUAAAGGGUGCGUAGGUGGGUCUAUAAGUCAGUGGUGAAAUCUCCGAGCUUAACUCGGAAACUGCCAUUGAUACUAUAGGCCUUGAAUUAUCUGGAGGUAAGCGGAAUAUGUCAUGUAGCGGUGAAAUGCUUAGAUAUGACAUAGAACACCAAUUGCGAAGGCAGCUUACUACGGAUAUAUUGACACUGAGGCACGAAAGCGUGGGGAUCAAACAGGAUUAGAUACCCUGGUAGUCCACGCCCUAAACCUAUGGAUACUCGACAUCAGCGAUACACUGUUGGUGUCUGAGCGAAAGCAUUAAGUAUCCCACCUGGGAAGUACGACCGCAAGGUUGAAACUUAAAUGAAUUGACG